ACCACCUGCACAAAUUAAGGCCAGAGUGCAGGUUGGUCACUAUCAUCAGGUGGAAUGGAUGAGGAGCUCCAGAGUAGCCAGGAAGGGGAGGACUCAAAUGGCAGCAACACAGAGCCAAGGAAGUGGAAGUUUCAAAAAGAACACAGUCUCCAAAGUUAUGAAGAACUGAGGAGAAGAAGAAGGUGAAAUAACAUCCAGUAGGCCUGGAAAUGAAUGAUGACCUUGGCAAGGGCUGCCUCAGUGGCAUGAGGAAGCUGAAAGCCAGAGGACAGUGGCUUGUGUAGGGAGAGUAGACAGUCUCCACUCCUUCCAGAGCCUGGCUUGGAAGUAAAACAGAGUGAGAGGGUUGUGGUCGGUCAGAUGGGGGCGCUCAAGAGCCCAGGAGGAAAGUCAAGCUUCUUUAUAGGCAGAAAGUAAUAUGGUACCUGAAGACAGGAAUAGAAUGAUGUUUUGGAUGGCAGGGUGUUCUUAGGAAUCAGGAAGGUGGGCUCCCAAGCACAGGAGGAAUGGAUCUGGCCAGCAGGAAGGAUGGCUAAUGUUCUGAGACCCAGUAGGUAAGAAUGAGGAUAGACUACAAGGUCAGAGGACAGAAGCAUGAAGGCAUUUCCAAGAGUGCAUCUGUAAAUCUGAAGAGGGCUGAAGUGGGGAAGGCAAUCUGAAAAAAGCGAGGGAAAAAACAAAACAAAACAUUUCACUGAUAUGUGUGACCCUUUUCACCUAGCAGUGAAGGAAACUCAUGUUGACUGAACACCUCCCCUGGGAUGUGUGGGACCUGGGAUGAGAACUUUCACAUAGCUGCUGUGUUCAUGUCCAUCACCACCCUGUGAGGUGGAUCCCAGCAAGAUGACUUCUACCCUACAAAGAGGUUGAGAAUCCUGUUUCAAAUGCUGGAUGGAUCCCUGUGAAUCUGUCACUUUAAGAAGGGAGACUGCCCAGUGAAAGCAGUGGAAAGAAAAAGAGCGUUAAAAGGUGAGUGGAUUGGGAGAUCUCAUCAGAUUUUCCCGUUCUCUUCUGUCAUGCUACGACAACUUGCAUCAGUGAAAUUUCUUUUUUAGAAACUGCAAAGGAUAUUGAAAUAUUGAAAGGAUAUUGAAACUUGGGAGCCCUUAUUUAUGGGAUAAAGCUGUCAGGAAAUUAAACUAGAAUCAACAUUUGACAGGUGAAUGUUUAUUUUUAUCCUUGAGACCCUAAUCUCUCUUUCCCACCAAGCUUUGCUUAUAUAUCAGAUCUAUACACUAUUUUGAAGCAGAAAAAACAAGAAAGGAAUCUUGAAAGAAAGAAAGAAGAAAAGAAAAGAAAAAAAGACUUCUCAAGCUCAGAAUCAGCCCUUGCUAUUAACAUCUCCUUCAAGGAUCAUUAGAGGCUCCCAAGGGCCAAUGGGACUGGGUGGAAGAUUCUGAGGGAGAGGACACAAGAGUUCCUGGAUGUCCAUGGGUGUCCAUCUGUAAACCCGAGCAGUUUAAAGCUUCUAAAUCCCAAUUAGGCUGCUCGAACCAACUGAGAUGCCACAAAUGCAACCUAGUGGCUUUUCCCAUGGGAAGUCAGAGAAGUGGAAAAUAUUUCAAGCAAUUUGGGCAUGCUUGCAUAACCCUUUUGUGGAAAUUCCUGCACUAACAAUUUGCAAUUAAAGUGAAAGUGAGUAAAAAUAGAAUGACCUCUCAUUUCCACAAUGACUGUAUUUUGUAGACUCUGGGGUAUGAAUUUGCCUUAUAUCUGACCCACACAUAAUGACGAAGAAACUAAAAAUAAUCAGCCUUCUGUAUGCCUAGCAGUGCAGAGUGUCUAUCAGGCAGCAGGUUGUAGCAUUAAUGACAGUUUUUAGCUAAGACAGAAGACAUGGUUGCAUAAAACAUAAGCAAAUCAACAGCCAAGUGAAGACAGAAAAACAUACUCUCAGUCCAAAUCAUAAUUGUAAAUUCAUAUUAUCUGUAGCAAAUGUGGUCUCCCAGGCAGCCUGGUGCCUAAAAUGCCCAUGCUUUUGGGUCCCUCCCCAAUUUAGCAUUAACUGCUGAUGUCUGGGAUUAGUAAUUAAUUUUUUAUCAACCUAAUGAAAGCUUCAUUAGAAAAGUCACUCUGCAAGAAGGAAAAAAGUCAUAUAGUGUACUAUACAACAAAAUGUGUGUAUUUCUGCCUUUAAUGCUGUGAGUUAUCUAUGCCAUUUCCUCCUCUUAGCUUGGAUAAAUAAAAGUUCAAUGCUAACUGGAAAAAGUUUUGAGACUCACUCUGGUAAUGUCAUUAUGCCAUAAUUCUUUCAAAUAUUUCUGAGAUGCCAUCAGAUAAUUAUAGGUUUCCCUCAAGAUUUUUAUAAACUCUAUGAUUAUUGUAUAGAGUGUUUAUGUCAUUUGAUGACUAAAAAUAUCCACGAGAAGAAAUUUUCUGUGAUUGAAUCACCUACAUAUGCUAAACAAUUCAAGCAGAACUGGGUUAUUUGGCAGAGGAGAGAGCCUGUGAAUGAAAAUGAUCGGUUAAUGAACUGAAAUUGCAAGCUAAACAGAGGCCACAUACCACUCAGCCUGGGUCCAAGGGACUUUCAGCAAGGGGUGAGCAUGAAAGGACAAAUUGGAGCCCAAUUGUGAGGGGCAUGGAAUGCCUUACUGAUGAUUUUGGCAAAAAAACACUUCCCACAGACAUUCAGGCAAGGUGACAAUGUGAGUUCUCCAUUUUAAAAGGAUAUCUCUGGCCCCAGCAGACAGAAGGGAGACCAGUUUGACUGAGUUUGAACCAAGCAUUGUGAAAUGAUGGGAAACAAGUAAAAAUAGAGACAGAUGGAAUGGGAUUGGGGCAAUAGGUAAAGAGCAGGU
rnacentral:lncRNA from 1 species